AACGAACGCUGGCGGCAUGCCUAACACAUGCGAGUCGAACGAGACCUUCGGGUCUAGUGGCGCACGGGUGCGUAACGCGUGGGAACCUGCCCUUAGGCUCGGAAUAACUCCCCGAAAGGGGUGCUAAUACCGGGUAAUUUCUUCGGACCAAAGAUUUAUCGCCUUUGGAUGGGCGCGCGUUGGAUUCGCUAGUUGUUAGAGUAAGAGCCUACAACGGCGACGAUCCAUGGCUGGUCUGAGAGGAUGAUCAGCCACACUGAUGCCGACACACGGCCCAGCCUCGUGCACCAGGCGGCAGUCGAGGUCAGCGGAGGAUCGGCGAGGGGCUAGUAGAUCAAGGCCGUGAGGGAGAUGAAGGCGUUAGGGUUGCAAAUCACUUGUACCCGGUAUGAUGAGAGGAGGGGCAGGAGAAUAAGCUCCGGCUAACGUCGUA
rnacentral:rRNA from 1 species